ensembl:lncRNA
AACUCCUCCUCUAAAGCAGCAGCUCCUGUCUUAGAGCUGUUGUGAAGCUGCAGUGCAUUCCUGCCCAUGUCUGGGGUGGGAUGAAAGCUGUGUGCUGUGAUCUCCAGGAACCAAAAGUAGGAAUGAGCUCGAUGUGUGGGUGCAGCCAUAUACCCAGGAGAGCACUACUGCUGCUCAGCCACCAGGGUUCUGGUGACCGUUGGCUGGCAGACUUGGAUGCCUUCCCCCUGAUCAGCUCACAUCUUCCUGACAGCACUGCAGAUUUAAAGGCUUUCUGGCAUCAGUCACAAAAGAGUUCCAUACUCUUCAGUCCCUACCAUGAUAAACACUGGAGGUGGUAUAACAGAUUGAAGCCUAUCCUGUCCUGGAUGAAGCAUAAGGAGGAAGGGGACAGCAAAAUGUAAAGACUAUCAAAAUAGCCAAACUCUGAAUCUUUUUCCUUGGUUUAUUUAGAGAGCUGUACAGGAUGGCAACAAUCCAAGGCUUAAUAGGGGAUGUAGGCAGGCAUCAGCAUGCGAAGCGUCAAUGGAUUUCUUCAGAGCUUCAUAAGACAAUUCAGUCUCCUUCAGAUUCCUCUUUCUGUGACAGAGGUUGUGCCUUCCCUUCCAGACAGUUUUUCUCAUGAGAAAAUUUAAGCUUUCAGUGGGGCCACAACCAAUCUCUACUUUUGGAACACCAGAAGGAAACACAAAUGCCCAUGUUGUUCUCUUGCACUGAACAGUUUGAGUAACUCCCAGUAUAUAUCUAUGAUAAAUGUCAGUUUAAGUGUCUUCCUUUAAAAUCCCUUAUAAACUGCAUGACUCCUUGCUACGGAUAACAGUUUUUCAGGUUUGCUGCAACCUUGCUAUUUCUGCAUAGCUAAAAGCAGCAUAUCACACUGAGAUACAAAACAUUAUGGUAAAAUGAAUGAGUAAGAAUCAUCUGUCUGGGGUGAUGUAUGCAUCCUGGUACUGAAAACUGGGUGUAUUUUGGCAGCUGAAGUGAUCACAGAUGAUGGAGUCAGAGCCUCUCUGGGCUCCUUGUGGUACAAUGAGGCAGAUCCAGCACACCUCUGUAAGCUGUAACAUUUUAUCUGUAAUUCACACGGAGUCCAAUUUAUUGCUGAAAUCAAGAGAAAAAUUUGCAGAGACUUAACAGAACAUAGGGGUGAAAAACUUUAAGCCUUUGGAAGAAUGGGGACAAGAAAUUCUAGCUAGCUACUGGAUUUGGUGCAUGCAUAUAUGCUUGUGCUGCUCGUGUCAGGAAAAGUUAUAGCACCAUUUACCCCUCAGCCUUUAAGAUACACCCCCUCAGUUGCAUUCUUGAAGAACCCAUCCUCAUUUUCUACUUGUGUUGCCUGCUGAUUGCUUACCUCCCUCAGUUACCAGCACGCAUGAGCUUCCAUAAAGCAAUAUGAAUGCUGCUCAAGUGCAGUUGAUGGGAUAAAUCAGACCCUGCAUCCUACUUUUUCCCUGCACUAUUGUGGUUUGCUGCCCUGAUGACUGUUCAGAAAGCCAUGUAAAUAC